CAUAAACCUUGUGGACAUUCUGGAGCUGCCACUGGCUCUGAGCCCAGGCCCGGACCAGAGUCGUCUGUGGGGAGCCGUUCGUGGAUGAAGUGUGACAGGGUGAAACUGGAGUGGGUGGAACCUGCAUUUCCCACGGCGCCCAAGGAAGACGUGUCAGCCAAAAUGAGGAAAAGGGAGAAGUUACACUGGAGCUGUGUCUCCUUUAGCGGCUUUUCAGGCUUCUUCAGCAGGACCCACGGUGAGAAAGACAUUUUACCUGAGGGCGCGCACACACACACACACACACACACACACACUUGUGGGCAUCUACGCAGGACUAAAACAAAAGUUUUACAAACAAUACCAACCCUUCCUAGGUAUGAAGCCUCCUGCUAUUUUCUAUUGUAUUUUAUUUCAUUAAAAAAAAAAAAAAAGAUGCUGGUCACACCCACUCAA